UCCGGACCAGCAGCGCCUCAUCUUCGCGGGGAAGCAGCUGGAGGAUGGCCGCACCCUGGCCGACUACAACAUCCAGAAGGAGUCGACGCUGCACCUGGUGCUCCGCCUCCGCGGCGGCAGCAGGGGCGGCUACACCAUCCAGGAGCCCAGCCUCCUGCUCCUGGCGCUCAAGUACAACGAGAAGAAGAUGGUCUGCCGCAAGUACGAACUCAUCUUGAUCCUGUUUGACUAAUGCUAUAUAAUUUUUUUUUUAAAAAAAGAAACUUUACGGAAUGCUUACUAACAAAGAUCUCAGCUUUGAAUUUUAACGCUUAAUUCGUACGUGUAUUCCUGUUCCACGAUGCAUCCUAAUUAAGUUCCUAACCGCAGGUGCUACGCACGCCUUCCCGCCAGGUCUACCAACUGCCGCAAGAAGAAGUGUGGCCACACCAACCAGGUGAAGUGGUCCUUUUACUUAGUUUUGUCGUCAAAGAAAUGUUUUAACGUUUUUAGAUAGUUUGUUUUCAAAAUUGGUCGUUUGGUUGCAUCAGUCAUGUACACGGAUUCGUGUUACUCCCUCCGUUUUAUAUUAUAAGUCUUUUUUAGCAUUGUCUAUAUUCAUAUGUAUGUUAACGAAUCUAGACAUAUAACAUCUAUAUGAAUAUGGACAAUGCUAUAAAGUUUUAUAAUAUGAAACGAAUUUUUUUUAUAUAAUAGAUAUAAAAUCCAUCCACUAUUUGUACAUGUUAUUUUUUUCGAUUUGUAUACAUUGCCGUACGUUGGUUGUACGGCUGACCUAAUGUUGUUUUCUUCCAUCUGAAUUUUCAGAUAAGGCCAAAGAAGAGGUUUAUAUCCAAGACUGCCAACUGAAUAAAAGAGUUGUCAUGCAUCAGUUGAGUCGAAGAGUCUUCCUAUUCAGUUAUUAGCUCAUAUGUUAGCAUCAGUUGAGUCAAAGAGUCUUCAUAAAUGUUAGCCUGGCUGCUUAUGCUAUUUCUGUUUGUGAGAUUUGGUUAGAAGUUUUUACUGUUCAAAUCUCUAUAUACGCCCCUACUUUUCUGUUUUUGAGAUUUGGUUUGAAGUUUUUACUUGUUCAAAUCUCUAUAUACGCCCCUACUGCGAGACACCUAAUUUCGUUUACGGUUGCUUAAUUUCCUUUCUUUUGCAUGAAUGUUACGAGAAACUAGUUAGAGAAGUUUGAUUUAGAACCUCUUAUAUAUAAUAUAAUAGGAAACGGAAGGAGUGGGCAUGUUCCAAACUCACAUAUAUAAUCCCAGCGAAGACUAGCAGAUGCGAAGAUCAGGAAUAAACCUUUCGUGGUUUAGCUGAUUUGAUCAGACCUCACCAAAAUUUCUGAAAUUUUUGAAAUUUUGAAUAAAAUUUAGUUGUAUUUGAACAAAUAUUACCAAAAUUUACGAAAAAAAUAAAAAGUUAGAAAAUUUCAGCCAAAAUAAUAAUGUAUUGGAGAGGUCUGAAAUGACCGAAAUUUCCAACUUUGGCCAAGAUAACUUGCCCGAUCUCACAAAAGUCAACACAUUCAAAUUAACCAAGGUCAUCAAUGGCAAAUGACUAAUCUCACUAAAUAUAAUUCAACACAUUCGAAUUAACUGAGGUCAUCAAUGAUAGAUUAUUAAUCUCAGUAAGUUCCUAGUGAUAAAAAAAAUAAUCUAUGACUCCAGUACACAAAUAAUGCUUCCGCCGUUUGUUUUGCUGGCAACCCCACGAGUGCUUCCCGUUUCUAUUGAUGGCGGCGUGGCGCUAGGGCACUAAACACCAUGAACGUUUGCCAUAAAUGCUUCCCCUGUUAUUUUUUUUGCCUCACCAUGAACGUUUGACAUAGUGUUUCCCCUGUUAUUCUUUUCUGUAAGGCUAGUUCACAACAUAUGUUCGUUUGAGAAUUUCGGCAGGCAAAACAAGAUUAUUAUAGUACUAUUAGCUAUUACUGUAAACAUAAAACAUUGAUGUGGUGUGGUUGUUUUUUUUUUCCCAAGGAUGUAAACUUGAAUUUAUAUAUCAAAGCGUAAUGUCGCUCUAUUUUGUGCGUGUGUUUUUUUUUCAAAAAUAAUGUAUCAAUUCCUUGUUUAAUGUAUCAAUUCCUUUUAAGAAACAUACAUAAAACCGAUCCAAGUAGCUAUUAGAACUCGAUUCCGCUAGUUGCAACAGCCACGCCACGCCUACUCCGUACUUACUAAGGGAAUCAUGUUCAAAAUUCGGCUAAUCAAUCCACAGAAAUCCUGGCAAAGAUCACCAGAAUUUCUACUAAGUCAUCCAGAUCCCAACCGUGACCGACUCCUGAUUCCCGGUAUCUACACAGAUCAGUGCACGUCAAUACCGACGCAGUCGUUCGCCUAUAACAUUGGUUGCUUUCCAGGCAAGUCAUGUGUCUCAUGCCCAUAGCAUACGACUCUCUCCAAAAGACCAAAACCCAUUGGCCCGUCCCACGCAUCCACUAGACCACCACGCGCCAAGCUGAAGCCGGUCGGCAAUUGGCAGCUAGCGUACCACUCGAUCAAUUCCAUUAGUAAACUCUCCCCUAUAUAAACAGCACUCGCAAGCAUCGAUCUCCACUCAAAUUAGCCACUCCACUCCAAGCAAACCGAGUCUCACUUACUCUGAGCUUCUCUACACAUCCAGUGCUACUCCAGUUUAAUUAGCAUCCGCCACCAUGAGCGUGGAGAUCCUCGACGGCAAGACGGUGCGGAGCUUCGUGGAGGACGAGGGCGCCUUCAACUCCUCGGUCGACGGCCGCUUCGCCGCGCUCGACGCCAACCGCGACGGCGUGCUCUCCUACGCCGAGAUGGCCGGGGAGCUGAUGAGCCUCCGCGUGCUGGAGAAGCACUUCGGCGCCGACGAAGACGAGGCCGCCAUGGGCGCCGACGAGCUCGCGGCGCUGUACCGCGGGCUGUUCGCGCGGUUCGACCGCGACGGCAGCGGCGGCGUCGACCUGGAGGAGUUCCGGGCGGAGAUGAAGGAGGUGUUGCUCGCCGUCGCCAACGGGCUAGGGUUCUUGCCGGUGCAGAUGGUCGUCGAGGAAGGCAGCUUUCUCAAGGUGGCCGUCGACAGGGAGCUCGCCGGAGCAGCUGCCUAAACUGAACUAAUUACAGAGCAAAAAAGGAGUUUCAUAUUUUACACUUCCACGAUUUUGUUGUGAUUCAUUAUUCUUUUUAGAUAACUAGAAGGCCACUCUAUUGAGUAAUUUCAUUGAUACUUAAUUACUUAUAUAUACACGGAAGGAUACACGGUGUAAUAAUGCAUUAGUUUUUUCAUGUUAUUCUCAAAUCACUAGUCUUUUAUUAUUAUUAUUUUGCCUAGCAUAAAAGAAGAUAGUUGAUCUUGUACGGAUGUCUACGUGAGGAAAUGAAAUACCAGUUUUGGGAUUUUGGAUUACAUCAGUAAUAUAAACGGUGAAUUCACAAGUUGAACUCCGUGACUAAAUCAAUUUUCCAAAUUUUCUUUUAGAAUUUUACUGCACAAUUUAAGAAUUUUUUUUAUUUAUACUUUUUUUUAUUAAAAUAUUUACAAAAAUAAUUUGUUGUUUUGAAAAUUUACAAAUCUAAUCGCCUGCCGCCCUUUGGGAGGGCGAUUUUUAAAAAUCGCCCUUCCACAGGGCGGCAAGGGACCUAAAUGUAAAUUUUCCAGCAUAACUUGUUAGCUCUAUAAUUUUACAAUUUAAAAUUAUAUUAUAUAAAGUCAGAUGAAAUAAAACUUUAUAUCAAAAUUGUAGAGCUCAAGGAGAUCUACAACUUUGUAGUUAAUAACUUUUUCAUUUAAGAUGUUUUAGAUAUCCAAAUAUUCGUUACAAAAUAUAAAACACAUUUUAAAAAAUCUCAGAUCUACAUUUCAAACGACAUUGGAUGGAGAUAAACUUUAUAUAAAGUUGUAGAUCUUGAUGAGAUCUAUAACUUUGUAGUUUAUCACUUUUCCAUUUAAAAUCAUUUGGAGUAUCGAAUAAGCAUUAUUAGUUUUUAAGCAAUUAAAACCGGUGGGAAGGGUUUGAUCACAAAUAAAAAUUUUGUAUUUAGGUCCCUUGCCGCCCUUUGAGAGGGCGAUUUUUAAAAAUCGCCCUUCUUAAGGGCGGCAGGCAAUUAAAUUUGUAAAUUUUCGAAACAAAAAAUUAUUUUUGUAAAUAUUUUAAUAAAAAAAUGUAUAAAUAAAAAAAAUUCCACAAUUUAAGCCGUGUCUGCUUGGGCCAUAUACACGGACCAGCCCAAUAGCCAGAAGCCUGUAGCUCUCCAUGGGCCCGUACUCGUGCCACGUGUCAAUCCUGUGGUUCGGUUUCGUGGCGGUUGCGUUUCCUCCUCUCUCUUUUCUUUUUCAUCUUUUUUUUUUCUUACGACAUUUAUAGGUUUCGUAGCGGCUGCGUUUCCUAUUUUCCUUUUCUUUUUCUAUUUAUUUUUAUGGGAUAUUUCGCUUUCGUGGCGGCUGCGUUUCCUCGCCCAUAUAUAAGAGCGGGUGACCACGACUGCGGCGCGGCGCACCACUCCACCACCACCACCACCACUCCACCGAUCGGCGAGAGCGCGGGGAGAUCGUUCGACGGCGGCAAGAUGCAGAUCUUCGUGAAGACGCUGACGGGGAAGACGAUCACGCUGGAGGUGGAGAGCAGCGACACCAUCGACAACGUCAAGGCCAAGAUCCAGGACAAGGAAGGUAUGCUCGCACCGGCCAUGGUCGCCGACUCGCCGUCUCUCCAUUCCUAGCCCUCCCCAUUCUCGCUGACCUGCAUUGAUUGCUGCUUUGUUUGGUGUGCUCGAUAUGCUGAUAUGUUACUGUGUUUGUGUGCAAAUCUGUGGGUUUAGUGGAGUUUAUGCGCUGUGGAUAUAGGGAAUUGUUAAACGUCCGACUGGUAUGUACGACUUAGCAUCCGACCAGUACUUACCUGCUCCUUGCUCUGGCCCACAUGGAGAGCAGCUGGCUCGUUGGAGUAAAUUGAUUAGCAGAUACGGCAGGGUCGGACAGGGUCGAACAAUAGGGUCGGAUUGCUGCUUUGUUUGGUGUGCUCGAUAUGCUGAUAUGUUACUGUGUUUGUGUGCAAAUCUGUGGGUUUAGUGGAGUUUAUGCGCUGUGGAUAUAGGGAAUUGUUAAACGUCCGACUGGUAUGUACGACUUAGCAUCCGACCAGUACUUACCUGCUCCUUGCUCUGGCCCACAUGGAGAGCAGCUGGCUCGUUGGAGUAAAUUGAUUAGCAGAUACGGCAGGGUCGGACAGGGUCGAACAAUAGGGUCGGAUGUAUAGCAGUUGCAAGUUUUUGUGGGUUUAGUGGAAUACUGAGCAAAAUGCGUGAACUCUAGUAGUAUCGCCCAUCCAAUGUUGCUGCUUUUCUACCAUUUUUUUAGAUCUGUAACAGAGUAGAUCCAUCUUGAAAAGCGUAUAAAAACCCAAAACCUUCCGAUUGAAUAGUUCCUUUCCAAUUUCUCUGGAGGCGAUUUUUUUUAUAACUGUCACGCUAUACUGCACGGUUAACUAGAUCUAAAAGGUCCCCUGUUUUCUUGUUACAAUAAGCAAAAAAGUAUGUUGUUUUAUAAUCUGAUUCGAACUACUUGAAUCGAUUCCUAAAACGUUCUGUAUCCUUUUACAUGCUGUAUUGAUUUGAUCCUCCGGUAGUGUUAAUUUCAUAUCACGCUCUGCUAAGCUGGAAAUUGUUGAAUCCGUGUGUGCGCAUGGUCGAAUCUCUCUGCUGUUUAAGCUGAUGAACUGUAUCCAUCUCUGCACAACCCGUACAGGUAUCCCGCCGGACCAGCAGCGCCUCAUCUUCGCCGGGAAGCAGCUGGAUGACGGCCGCACCCUGGCCGACUACAACAUCCAGAAGGAGUCGACGCUGCACCUGGUGCUCCGCCUCCGCGGCGGCAGCAGGGGCGGCUACACCAUCCAGGAGCCCACCCUCCGGGCUCUUGCGCUCAAGUACAGAGAGAAGAAGAAGGUCUGCCGCAAGUACGAACUCACGCACGCCCCCGCCCGCCCGCACCUUGAUUCCAGAUGAUACUAGCUUUGCAUCCGCGGCUAACAUGAACUGAUUUGAUUUCAACCCUGUUCCAUCUCCUGAUGCAGG
rnacentral:lncRNA from 1 species